AGUUUUGAGAGAGAGAGAGAAGGAAAGAGAGAGAGAGAGAAAUAGAAAGAGAGGCAGGUGGAAAGAAAGAAAGCAAGAGGGACGAACACGAGCGAGAGCGUGAUAAGGUUGACGGGAGGGUUGCGAAAGAGGGAAAGGGAAGAUUUUCACGAUGCUACUAGCCAGGCGGCCAACAAGACGCUUUUGCAGAGGGACGCCGCUAUCGUACAUAGGUGAAACACAUAUACUCGGGCAGACGUGGAGAGUCGCGCCACGUUCCACGCAAACGCCGCCGUCGGCCGAGAUCGAAUAUACACUACCACAAUUUGACAUCAUAUACCCGCCACCGGGACCAGUCGACAUAAACUACCACUGCUCUGUCCAUGAGAGACCACCUACAGAAACGCGUCUUUCCGCCGUGGCUUCUCAGAGAGAGGGCUAGCUAUAGAGAGGAAACGGGAUAGAGAUACUCCGGCAGGGCUAAGGGAGAAAGAGAGUCGCGUAGGGAAAAAGGGAUAAGCUUUGGAGGAGGAAUGGGUGAAAGAGUAGGAUGGAAGAAUUUGACGAUGCCAAACCGGCUACCACGAGGCCUAUGCAGGGUUACCUCGCCGCUAUACAUACCAGUGCCACUAGGCAUCGCGUAUAUAUUAUUGUCGCCUAGCACACAGUGUACUCACGACCACGAUCAUUCGACCGUACUACCACUAGCAUCGAGAGUUCGAGUAGCGUGUUCUCCUAUGCUCAACACACAUAGCGAGGCCCUUUACACGCGCGACCCGAGAUGAACAAAAAGGGACCAAGGGAGACGAACAAACGGAGAGAGAAUGGCGAGUUUACGUGAUAGCGGGAGAAAGAAGGAGAGAAGUGACGCGCUGGCAGCGAGGCAGCCAACAAAACGUCUCUGCAUCGAUGCUCUCUAUACGUGCAUCACUAACACAACUACGAUCGUUGCCUGAGAGCAUCGUCGCCGCUGCCAUCGCCUGUUACUCGUCUAGUCCUUGCACGAAGCUUCAGGAAGUGGAGACGAAGAAAGGGUGGAGAGGAUAGACGAACGAAAAGGUCGAGUUCCACGGACGAACGAUGUAAGAGCAAGCGAGACAAGCGAAAGAAGGAGAGGAGAGUCGCGUUGACGCUACCAAGACGCUCGAGCAAGAUCGAGUCUUUGGAGGAUACCUACUAUAUCUAGCGCCAACCACUUCCACUACCACCAGCGUCGAUACAUACGACCAACACUGGUCCAAGAUUCGCGCAGCAUCUUCUCUGUUCGCAUUAACGGCGAGCAGGAUGGAGAUAAAACGGAGAGGAGAAAGAUAGAGGUGUACAUAGUUUCGACGCGUCGCAAGGCCGUUGGGAUUUCCAAUUGGAAUUUUUCGGGGCCCUGCUCUCCCGUGUCGAUCUAACGCACGCGCGCAACCGAUCGUCGAGCAUAGAAUACCUAUCGAUACAUCGAUUGGCGAGGGAUGAGAGACUGCUCGAUGCUUUGCAAUCCACGAUGGAAAUUGGGUUUCUUUAGUUUUUAUGUUAUUUGAAGGGUUUUCAAGGUUUGCAGGAUUUUAACUAUAUCCGAGGUAAAUUUUAAAGAGCAAAUCUUUUCGGAUAAUGGUGAUAGUAGAGUCCUCUUGCACAAUUAUUUAUCACGACGUAGGUUAUACACUCCUCUUCGUUUUGUAGUUUGCUUGCGAGACUUUUACGGCUUGAGGACUCCAAGCAUUUUUAAGGCAGACUCUAUUAGAUGACAAUUUUACGUUAAGUAGGAUAAUCGUAAUUUCUAAAAUUUGAAUAGCCACUUUAAUUGUUUUAUAUAACAACAAGUUUAAAUACCAGUUUAAAUAUUAUUACAGAUUGGUAGAAUAAAAUGCUCAACAUUGUAAGCUUUAAGAAUUUCUUUAAGUCAAACAAACUAAUAAAAUUAUAGUUUUCAUGAAUUUAUUCAAAAGUUGAAAGAUGUUUGAAAUUAUUAUCAAUUAAUGUAUACAAAAUUAAUUAUGUAUUAAAUUAAUUAAUGUAAUACAAAAUUAAGAAACAGGAAAUAUCGGAUAAAUGAAAUGUAUGUCAAGUAUGCCAAACGUAUGUUCGAUUUAGUACUGUACGAUUUCGUAAUAUUUUAUCAAUUUUCAUCAAGUUAUCCAAGGAAAUAAAGUAAUCGAAAGCCAGGCUUAACACGAG